UGUUGACUUGUUUAAUUAAAGGUGUGUACUGCCACAGCAAGCCUUGCAGCUCAUGAGCCCCAGAUUGCCUACCCUGAGACCUGGGGAUAAGUUUGACUGUGGACAUUG